AUAAGUGCAUCAGGCGGAUGCCUUGGCGAUGAUAGGCGACGAAGGACGUGUAAGCCUGCGAAAAGCGCGGGGGAGCUGGCAAUAAAGCUAUGAUUCCGCGAUGUCCGAAUGGGGAAACCCACUGCAUUCUGUGCAGUAUCCUAAGUUGAAUACAUAGGCUUAGAGAAGCGAACCCGGAGAACUGAACCAUCUAAGUACCCGGAGGAAAAGAAAUCAACCGAGAUUCCGCAAGUAGUGGCGAGCGAACGCGGAGGAGCCUGUACGUAAUAACUGUCGAGAUAGAAGAACAAGCUGGGAAGCUUGACCAUAGCGGGUGACAGUCCCGUAUUCGAAAUCUCAACAGCGGUACUAAGCGUACGAAAAGUAGGGCGGGACACGUGAAAUCCUGUCUGAAUAUGGGGGGACCAUCCUCCAAGGCUAAAUACUCAUCAUCGACCGAUAGUGAACCAGUACCGUGAGGGAAAGGCGAAAAGAACCCCGGGAGGGGAGUGAAACAGAACCUGAAACCUGAUGCAUACAAACAGUGGGAGCGCCCUAGUGGUGUGACUGCGUACCUUUUGUAUAAUGGGUCAACGACUUACAUUCAGUAGCGAGCUUAACCGGAUAGGGGAGGCGUAGGGAAACCGAGUCUUAAUAGGGCGAUGAGUUGCUGGGUGUAGACCCGAAACCGAGUGAUCUAUCCAUGGCCAGGUUGAAGGUGCCGUAACAGGUACUGGAGGACCGAACCCACGCAUGUUGCAAAAUGCGGGGAUGAGCUGUGGGUAGGGGUGAAAGGCUAAACAAACUCGGAGAUAGCUGGUUCUCCCCGAAAACUAUUUAGGUAGUGCCUCGAGCAAGACACUGAUGGGGGUAAAGCACUGUUAUGGCUAGGGGGUUAUUGCAACUUACCAACCCAUGGCAAACUCAGAAUACCAUCAAGUGGUUCCUCGGGAGACAGACAGCGGGUGCUAACGUCCGUUGUCAAGAGGGAAACAACCCAGACCGCCGGCUAAGGUCCCAAAUGAUAGAUUAAGUGGUAAACGAAGUGGGAAGGCACAGACAGCCAGGAUGUUGGCUUAGAAGCAGCCAUCAUUUAAAGAAAGCGUAAUAGCUCACUGGUCGAGUCGUCCUGCGCGGAAGAUGUAACGGGGCUCAAAUCUAUAACCGAAGCUGCGGAUGCCGGUUUACCGGCAUGGUAGGGGAGCGUUCUGUAGGCUGAUGAAGGUGCAUUGUAAAGUGUGCUGGAGGUAUCAGAAGUGCGAAUGUUGACAUGAGUAGCGAUAAAGCGGGUGAAAAGCCCGCUCGCCGAAAGCCCAAGGUUUCCUACGCAACGUUCAUCGGCGUAGGGUAAGUCGGCCCCUAAGGCGAGGCAGAAAUGCGUAGUCGAUGGGAAACAGGUUAAUAUUCCUGUACUUGAUUCAAAUGCGAUGUGGGGACGGAGAAGGUUAGGUUGGCAAGCUGUUGGAAUAGCUUGUUUAAGCCGGUAGGUGGAAGACUUAGGCAAAUCCGGGUUUUCUUAACACCGAGAAGUGAUGACGAGUGUCUACGGACACGAAGCAACCGAUACCACGCUUCCAGGAAAAGCCACUAAGCUUCAGUUUGAAUCGAACCGUACCGCAAACCGACACAGGUGGGCAGGAUGAGAAUUCUAAGGCGCUUGAGAGAACUCGGGAGAAGGAACUCGGCAAAUUGAUACCGUAACUUCGGGAGAAGGUAUGCCCUCUAAGGUUAAGGACUUGCUCCGUAAGCCCCGGAGGGUCGCAGAGAAUAGGUGGCUGCGACUGUUUAUUAAAAACACAGCACUCUGCCAACACGAAAGUGGACGUAUAGGGUGUGACGCCUGCCCGGUGCCGGAAGGUUAAUUGAAGAUGUGCAAGCAUCGGAUCGAAGCCCCGGUAAACGGCGGCCGUAACUAUAACGGUCCUAAGGUAGCGAAAUUCCUUGUCGGGUAAGUUCCGACCCGCACGAAUGGCGUAACGAUGGCCACACUGUCUCCUCCCGAGACUCAGCGAAGUUGAAGUGGUUGUGAAGAUGCAAUCUACCCGCUGCUAGACGGAGAGACCCCGUGAACCUUUACUGUAGCUUUGCAUUGGACUUUGAAGUCACUUGUGUAGGAUAGGUGGGAGGCUUGGAAGCAGAGACGCCAGUCUCUGUGGAGUCGUCCUUGAAAUACCACCCUGGUGUCUUUGAGGUUCUAACCCAGACCCGUCAUCCGGGUCGGGGACCGUGCAUGGUAGGCAGUUUGACUGGGGCGGUCUCCUCCCAAAGCGUAACGGAGGAGUUCGAAGGUUACCUAGGUCCGGUCGGAAAUCGGACUGAUAGUGCAAUGGCAAAAGGUAGCUUAACUGCGAGACCGACAAGUCGGGCAGGUGCGAAAGCAGGACAUAGUGAUCCGGUGGUUCUGUAUGGAAGGGCCAUCGCUCAACGGAUAAAAGGUACUCCGGGGAUAACAGGCUGAUUCCGCCCAAGAGUUCAUAUCGACGGCGGAGUUUGGCACCUCGAUGUCGGCUCAUCACAUCCUGGGGCUGUAGUCGGUCCCAAGGGUAUGGCUGUUCGCCAUUUAAAGUGGUACGUGAGCUGGGUUUAAAACGUCGUGAGACAGUUUGGUCCCUAUCUGCAGUGGGCGUUGGAAGUUUGACGGGGGCUGCUCCUAGUACGAGAGGACCGGAGUGGACGAACCUCUGGUGUACCGGUUGUAACGCCAGUUGCAUAGCCGGGUAGCUAAGUUCGGAAGAGAUAAGCGCUGAAAGCAUCUAAGCGCGAAACUCGCCUGAAGAUGAGACUUCCCUUGCGGUUUAACCGCACUAAAGGGUCGUUCGAGACCAGGACGUUGAUAGGUGGGGUGUGGAAGCGCGGUAACGCGUGAAGCUAACCCAUACUAAUUGCCCGUGAGGCUUGACU
rnacentral:rRNA from 1 species